CCCCCUCAAUGACCCAGGAGAUCUUACCCUCUCCAAUGACUGGAGACUUCAAUGAGAGGGGGAGAUCCCGCACCACCAAAAUAUCCGGGAGACACCCCCCCCGCAAUGACCAGCUUCCUAGAUGCUUCUGUAACCAUAAUUAUGUGAUGCAAGCUAAAGCAGUGAGGAACAUUGCAUGCUUGUGUGUCCAAACUACUCACUUUAAGAAGAGGCAAUGGGAGCCAUAUAGAGAAGAGCAGCAUGACCAAGGGCAACAACAGGCACUGGAAGCAUGAUCAUCCUUGAAAUAGGAGACUGGGGCUGCUGUCCAUGUGAGUCCAGAAACAUGAGGAUAAGCUCCAUAGCACUGGAGGAAAGGUCCAGGAAUGCCCUUCGGACCCCAGCGUCAUUACUCUUGAUAAUUCCUGGGAUUUAAACAGUGUCAGGAAUGGCCACAGCAGGGCACAAAAAGAGUGAAUUACAAGAGAAAAAAAUGACAAACUGGACUCGUCAAAAUUAAAAACUUUUGCUUUUUAAAAGGUAUUAUUAAUAAAAUGAAGAGACAAGCCAUGGCCACAGCCACAUUUUGGGAGAAAUAUUUGCAAAUCAUUUGCCUGAUAAAGGAUUUGUUCUCAGAGUACAUAAAGAAUUCUUACAACUCAAUAUAUUAAGAAGCCAAAUGACCUAAUUUUAAAUAGGGCAAAAGAUGUACUUCACCGAAGAAAACAUAUGGAUGGCAAGGAAUCACAGGAAAAGAUGCUCACCAUCAUUAGACAUUAGGUAAAUGCAAAAUAAAACCAAAAUGAGAUACCACUUCAUACUAGGAUGGCUAACAUUAAAGACUCGAUACUAAGUGCUGAUGAGGAUACAGAGCAACUGGAACUCUUGAACAUUGCUGGGGGAAUGCAGAAUGGUACAGACAUUUUAAAAAACAUUUUGGCAAUUUGUUAAACCUAUGUUUACCAUAUGACUCAGCAAUUCCAUAAAAACAUAUGUCUAUACAAAGACUUGUAUGCAAAUGCUUAUUGCAGCUUUAUUCAUAAUUGCCCAAAACUGGAAAGACCCCAAGUGUCUCUCAACUGGUGAGUGGAAAGAUGAAUUAUGGUACAUCUGUAUAAUGAAAUACAAUACAGCAAUACAGAAAUACAAUACAGCAAUAAAAAGGAAUGAUCCUCUGAUACAUUACAACAACAUGGAUAAAUCUCAAAAACAUUAUGCUAAGAGAAACAAGUCAGACACAAAAAAACUACACAUUAUAUGGUUUCAUUUAUAUGAAAUUCUAGAAAAGGAAUUUUUAGAGCGAUAGAAAGCAGGUCAGUGGUUUCCAGGAGCAAGGGAGCGGGUGAGGGGAUUUACUUAAAAUACAAACAAGGGAGCUUUUUGGGAUGACAGAAAUGCUGUACACUAUGAUUAUAGGGAUGGUUAUAAAACUCUCAAAUUGUAUACUUAAACUUGGUAAUUGUACUGUAUAUAAAAUAUAGGGUAACAAAGUUGAC